rnacentral:tRNA from 1 species
GGAGGUAUAGCUCAGGUAGAGCACGUGCCUAGCAUGCAUGGGGUCUUGGGUUCAAUCCCUAGUACCUCCA